AACUUUGGGGAAAAAAAAGUAAUUAAUAGUGUCCUGUUUGCAUCUCAGGACACGCUGGCCUAUGCCACAGCCUUGCUGAAUGAGAAGGAUCAGUCUGGAAGCAGCAACGGGUCAGAAAGUAGCCCAGCCAACGAGAAUGGAGAGAGACACCUGCAGCAGGGCUCAGAGUCUCCUAUGAUGAUCGGUGAGCCCAAAAGUGACCUUGAUGAUGUUGACCCGUAGAGGAUACCUACGAACACAAAACCAGAUCUACUCAAACAUUUAAUGCCUGGUACCUACUGAAACUGGAGUCCUGUUGCUUAACGCUGUUGGAAGAGUCUGGAAGAGAAGUGGCUUUACAGGAUCGGAGGCCGUGCUGGAGGAGGUUAUUUCCCUCAAAGCUAAAAGCAUUUUUUUUUAGCCACGAAGCCUUCAGGUCAAUAAAUACUCUAGAAAACUGCAACUUCACCUGCAGUAGCUUAUGACAGUCCAGACACCGAAAACAGUUUGUCAAGAAGAUUCUAUCAAAUACACAAACGCUAGUGGUUGAAUUUUUAUGUGAACAUUAAAUGAGUGAAUGUAAAACUGUUGCUUUUCUGUGAUGCUGCAAAAAAAAAAAAAAUUCUUUUGGUUUUUAUACAGGAAACAGAAACCAGACUUGCCCUUAUGUAUGGAGGGCAAAUUUUUAAUCUUUCUGAUAAUAUUGAAUAGGAAUAUUCAAAUUUCUGUAAAGAUGUGUGAUGACUUACAUUUCAUUGUAAAAUAUUAGUUAAAGAAUGGGUUUACAUAAGGACUUCUGUAUUUAAUAUGUCUCCCUGCCAAUUUGUAAAGCUCUUUAUGAGAAGAUUGCUCUGUGAGGAGAGUGAUUUCUUAUGGAAGGUUUGGUCAAGGAGCUCUGGAAUGGGAUUUUUUUCUGGUACCUUUCCAAAAACCAGACAAUUGGGAAGGGCAAUGAAAGAAAAGCUUUGUUCUCUAGAGAUGCAGGUGUUCACUAUUACAGGAUGUUGGUGGGUUUAAGAAAAAAAAGUUAAUGAGUAGUUUAAAAGGAAAAAAAAAAAGCACUUUAAGAUGGAAUUCUGUUGCAGUUUUACUCAUUAAAUUUUUUUAACCUCUGGAGACAUAUUGAAUAAAAGGUAGUCUCAAUCAUGUGAUCUGCAAUCACUUGCUUAUGCUUUGAAAUUACUGAGAAAGUUGGUAUUGGUUGUAAAUGAUGAAUAACUUCUUGAGUGAGUUGGAGACACUGUUGUGCAGAUUUUAUAGCAGUUUUAACACGGGGGAAAAGAAUGAUUUGGCUUUGUAUUUUCACUUGACCAGGCAACGUUUAAAAUCUCACAGCUCUUUUGAUUUGCUCAUAAAACAACUGGAAACCAGUUGGGAUGAUUUGAGCACGGUUUUGUUUUCCGUGUCAGGUGCAGUUCAGUGAUUUCUGGCUCUGGCUACCAGCUUCUUUUGUGCCAACUAACUCCUCGUCUUUUGUACAUUUUUGCGUUCGUCACGUUUUCUGCACUGCUUUUUGCCUUUAUUUAUGGAUUCUGCCUUACUUUAAAAAAAAAAAAAUUAUAUAAACAAACAUGCACAGAAACGGGGGGCAUCUUAAGGAGUGCCUGGGUACCUCCAGAAUAGAUAAAUUUGCCAAGUUAAAGGCACAACCAGCCAAAAAGUGCCUUUUAUUUUUUUUUUUUUCCUUUUUACAUACUGUUGCCGAAACAAGAAGCAGCAGACAGCUUUUCACUGUUGUGCACUAAUAUUGAAAUUAACCAGUCAUUUCACUGUUGGAAGUAAACACCUGACCUGAUUUCAGCUGUUACAGCUUUAUAACUUAUUGCGGGUUAAGAGAGCCGGUGUCCUAAACUGCGGGUGCGACGGAGGAAGGGUGGUGGUGGUGUAGUCAAUCUCUCACUUUCUUUUCCAAACAAAUGUCUUCAUAGACACAUGGCAGAGUUUAGCAUUUUAUAAAUGUUUCUGAUUAAUGUGCUGGGACAUUUUAAAUGUGAUGUUUUAAAUUAAUUUGGAAUAAAGCAUUUCUUACGGAUACCCCUUCUUCCUUCUUUCCCCCCCACCCCCAUCCCUGAUAACUUGGUUAAUGGGUCAUAAAUCAUCCCGAGAAGUCAGUACACAGCGGUGAUGGUGACGGAAGAAGCUGGUAAAUGUUCCUAUGGGUUGGCACCACUUGUCACUUCAGGUUCCUGUUAUUUCCUAUGGAAACAACGUCCUCGAUUUUUCCGCAGGCCCAGAGAAGCAUGGAUGAAGAGAAUUGCCUCGGGAUGGCUCAUCACCACUGUAUACUUGAAACCAAUACAAACUUUUUCAUGGUUCUGCUCACGCUUGUACAAAGUCAGUGGUUUAUAAUUUGCAAUCAGAUGAUACUCGGUCGAUUAUUUUUUUGUUUCCAGCUGCUGUCAUUUGAACCUGCUGAAGAUUAUUUUUUGGAAAAUAAGAGUUCAACAAAAACUAGUUUUUGUGUAAAUUGUGAUGCAUUUCUAUGUUGUAAUUUUUACUGCCAAUCUUUUUGGAUGAAAAUGUUUUUAUACAGCUUACAAAAAUGUUGGGUGAGGAGCAGCCGCAGCCUGCCUGUGAGCAGGCGGGGAGAUAUUGUCCAAUUAAUAUGUAGGCAUUUGGCACUGGAAAAAAAAAAUAGGCAGUCUUGAUGAACAGUCUUGGGAUUCCUGGUCAAUGGAAUAAAGUUAUUCCUUUCACAGAAAA